rfam:Acetonema longum DSM 6540 Contig00013, whole genome shotgun sequence.
UAGACCUUUAAACUAGUCCUGCGAGGCUGGUAAGGUAAAUACGUUUUGUGCGUAGUGUUAUGCCUUUUUGUGCCUUGCAGGUGCAAAAAGGCUUUUAUU